rnacentral:rRNA from 1 species
UACGUAGGGGGCGAGCGUUGUCCGGAAUCAUUGGGCGUAAAGCGCGUGUAGGCGGCCCGGUAAGUCCGCUGUGAAAGUCCAGGGCUCAACCCUGGGAUGCCGGUGGAUACUGUCGGGCUCGAGUCCGGAAGAGGCGAGUGGAACUCCUGGUGUAGCGGUGGAAUGCGCAGAUAUCAGGAAGAACACCAACGGCGAAGGCAGCUCGCUGGGACGGAACUGACGCUAAGGCGCGAAAGCGUGGGGAGCGAACGAGG